AAAUUAUUGCCAGAUUAGUUAAAGGGGUUAGGCCGGGCAUAGUCACCAAUACAGCUUCCUGUAGUGGUUAUGAUGCCAGGAGUACCCUAGCACAUUUCCCGGUAAUGGGGCAAACUGUUUAGCAAUGGUUUAUCCCCUUACCUAGGUCCCUGCCGGGCUCUGCGGCUGACUGGUGGUACAGUAAGGCACUUCUGGCUUUUGCAGAGCUGUAGACGCAGUAGCAAUCGCCAUUCAUUGGUUUGGAGACUCAGCUGACUGCCUUUAACCAAUGACUGUCUUUCAGUGCAAUGAAACGUGCCCAGAUUUGAGAAUUGCUGGGCUUCAACUCUAGUUCUGGUCUUUCUCAUGAUACCUCAGUGAUUCUUCUGGAGGUGGAUUUGCACCUCUGGCAGCAAAGGAGUUAAACUCCAUAUGUGCAACAUUUAAUAGUAAAGCUGUCUGCACAUACAGACUUCAUGCACCAUGACUACUUCAAAUUAUUGAAGUGGUCGUGGUGCUUGGACCAACCUUUUAAAUGUACAAUUGAUAUUCACAUUUCAUAGCAAAUGUAGGCAGUCAUAUGGAUAGACACACCUUAACCAGAG